UCUCCUUCCAUCCCCUUUGUCUGAAAACAAAACGGAACGGAGGACUUAAGGAGUGAGGAGUGAGGAGUGAUCUGAGCUUUCGGUAUUGAGAAGAGGUGGGCGUUGAUUGAUUUGUUUGACUUUCUCUCUCUCUCUCUCUCUCUCUCUUUCUCUAAAUCAGAACACAAUCGUCGCCUACGUGCUUGCUUAAGGGCAAGGAGAUCAUCAUUGAAGGAGGUAGAGAGAGAAUGUACAUCUAAUUCCAUAAAUGACACCAUUCUAUGAGCCAACGUCCAAGAAGCAGAAGAAGAAGAAGAACACCUCCAGGGACCUGAGACGAAGUGGAAUUGAUAAUGAUAUUGGUUGUUCCUGUUCUCGUAGUGUCACCACAUUGCUAUAAGCGGACAUCCUUGUUCAUGGUUAUGUUGGUUUGCCUUGAAGGUCUUAGACCAAGUCUUCUCAAAGGUACACUCUUCUUAUUGAUUGUUGAUGGUUUUAUUUGAUGGAUCUUUUUGGUCUUCUCUUGGCUACAUCUUCAGAUCAUGAGGAACCAGGAUUACUGUGAGGGAGGUUCGAAGAGAAAGAAUAAACAUUGUGGGAGAGUGUUUGAUUUCUGAGUUCAACUUUCAGCUUUUAAGCCUAAGACCCUAUAUUUUAGUGGAGGAGGAUGUUUUGAUCGGCUGGUGAUGGUUUUGAUGGAUCGUUUUGUCUUCUCUACGCUGCAUCUUCAGGCUUUUGAUGAUGCUUUUAUUGAUGAGAGUGAUGGCUUUGAUGGACACGCUUCUUCUCUGUGCUACUUCUUCAAAGGGUGUUUUGGAAGCCAGUUAUGAUAUGAUCAUGGCGUAUUCUUCUCCAUGCUGCCACGUCUUCAGCCACGUUCUCACAGAUUCGUGGAGGCUUUGAUCGGUGAUGGCUUUGACUGAUCGUUGUUACUCUAAUUCAUGUUAUUCUUCUAGGAUUGUGGAGGAAAGAGGAUGCUUUGAUCGGUUGGUGAUGGUUUUGAUGGAUCGUUUUUGUCUUCAGAUCAUAAGGCACCAGGUGGGAGGUUCGAAGAGAAAAAAAAAACAUUGUGGGGAGUGCGUAUGAUCAGGUUUUGGAUGAUACUUUUAUCAAUGAGAGUGAUGGCGUUGAUGGACACACUUCUUCUCUGUGCUACGCCUUUAAGUGUUUUCUUCUUCCUCUUCUCACGUCUUUUACUUCUUUUUUUUUUGUUUUGUUUUGUUCCUGUUCUUUCUUCGCUUUGCAGUUCUUUUGGAAGCAAACCAUGAUCCAAUCAUCAGUAUUCUAAUCCAUGUUAUUGUCUUCAAGCGUCCUCAUGGGUUCCUUGCUCCAAUCAUCACUCUCUUACUCAUAUUGCUCUUCUAGAGUUUGGUUUCUAAAUUGUUUAUUCAAAGUUUUUUUAUUAUGUUCAUGCGACUCUUAACUCUACUUGGCUCUGUUAAUUUUAGAUUGUGGAGGAGGAUGCUUUGAUCGGUUGGUGACAGUUUUGAUGGCUUGUAUUUGUCCUCUCUGCGUGGCCUACGUCCUUAAAAAGUGUAAAGUUGGUUCUUCUCAUUGAGGGAGACACUGGUUCGGGUAAGACUAUACGAUUACCACAAUAUCUCCAUGGAGCUGGUUUGAAAGGAAAGAGCAAAGAGCAAGUUGAGGCGCUGUCAAAAAGAGUUGUCUCAUCGUGCGGCUGUGCCAGGAUGUACAAGGAUGGUAGCAUCAUUCCAUUAGAUGAUUAUUUGUGUUUUGCCGCAAAUAUUUCAUACAUGCUGGGAUAUGGUAGUCCCCAGAUGAAAGAGCUCAUGAGGCUUUAUCUCGCCAUGCCGUUGAGUAUGUUGGUUGUGGAAAGAGAGAGAGAGAGAGAGAGAGAGAUGAAAUGGCUGAGGAUAGAGAGCUAUUAGAACCAGUAGCUACAACACAAAGCAAGCCGCAGGAAAUAUCAAGUUACUCUUACCGAAGCAAGCACAUGCAUUAUAUGGAGAAUUAGGGUUCCUGGAGGUUCGAACUCGAAGCCAUGGGUGCUUAUCUAUCUAUGGUCCAAUUUACUCGCUCAGGAUUGAUAGAAUUGCUCGUGUUGCCUUCGAGAGUCGAGACUGCUCGGCGUGGCAAGCUGUGUACUGCUGACAAAGCUAAUGUCUAUGGCCUCAAUUUAUGGAAGAAACGAGCAAGAGAGCCUCUGAAUAUCCUAAUGUUGAGCUGUCACAUAUGUAUGUUGACAAAACUGCGAUGACCCGCCAACAGGCAGUUUGAGACCAUUUUUGUUGAUAUAUUAUCCGGUUAAGCUUCAUUGAUCACAGGAAGCUCUGGAAUGCUGGCAUGCCGUCCAUUGCUCAAGUAUUUCUAAAUAGCCAGAUUCUUCUUGUCCAGUAAGGUGUGUCGAUAUUGCCAGCAGCGACCGGAAAAUUCAGUAUGUUGUGUUCGCCAAACAACGGAAAAUUUCUGGAUGUGUGUUAUGUAUGUCAAAUGAUUACUUACACAAUCUCAUCAAGCACCGCUUGAGAGAUCUUUCCUACCGUUAAGUGUCUCAGAAGUUCGAAGACCCAGCAGAAGGGGAGGAUACACAGGUGGCAAAACUUCAAGAAAUUAUACGACCAUCUCAGUACUGGAUUCCGUGCCUUGGUGGAUGGAACUCGGUAAGCUGUGUCCGUCUCCACCGCAAGUCUAAAAAUCAUCCCAAUUGGGUUGU